GGCCCACCAGCGUAGCUCACACAAUAAAAUCUAACCACCAACUAUUAAUACCCACUAAUUAACCUACACAUUCCUGAAACAAACCAUUUUUCCCCCCUAGUAUGGGAGACAGAAAAGGACCCACGAAGCGACAGCAACAGUACCGUAAGGGAACGCUGAAAGAGAAAUGAAACAAAUCAGUAAGCACAAAGAAGCAGAGCUUAACCCUCGUACCUUUUGCAUCAUGACUUAGCAAGAAGCAUUCAAGCAGAAAGAAUUUUAGUUUGACACCCCGAAACCAGGUGAGCUACUCCAAGACAGCCUAUAAGGGCGUACCCGUCUCUGUGGCAAAAGAGUGGGAAGAGCUUUGAGUAGAGGUGACAGACCUACCGAACCUGGUUAUAGCUGGUUGUCCAGGAAUUGAAUAGAAGUUCAGCCUUUUGCCCUCUCCCCCCGAGACCACUCCUUUUACCCCAAGCCCAAAGAGGACAAAAGAGUUAGUCAAAGGGGGUACAGCCCCUUUGACCUAAGACACAACUUUUCUAGAAGGGUAAAGAUCACACACUAACAAGGGAGCCUGUUCUAGUUGGCCUAAAAGCAGCCACCCACACAGAAAGCGUUAAAGCUCAGACAGACCUUUCACCCUAUUAUUCAGACCACCCCGUCUCAUCCCUCUAGCACGUACUGGACCUCCCCAUACACCAUAUGGGGGAGAUUAUGCUAACAUGAGUAAUAAGAGACCCAGAAUCUCUCCCUGCACAAGUGUAAAUCGGAACGGACAUACCACCGAAAAUCAACGGCCCCAUAGAAGAGGGAACUGCAACAUAAUGGCCAGGCCACUGGAAGACCAUGCAUACCCCCACCGUUAACCUUACACCAGAGUGCCCACAAGGAAAGACUUAAAGAGAAAGAAGGAACUCGGCA
rnacentral:rRNA from 1 species